rnacentral:lncRNA from 1 species
CCGGGUCAAACUGACCCGUCUCUCCCACUCGGGGGUCUCAAAACCCAUUCAAUUUUGCGAGUUUUCUUGUGCAGAAAGAAGAGAAUCCUUUAAAUCUCUGAGAAAAACCGGAGAAAUAGAAAAGGAAAAGUUAAAAGAAGAGGGAUGGAUCCGAAAAUUACAGAGGCUACACAAGCAUUCGAAAGAUUUAAAGCUGCGUUUGCGCGGAAUGAUUUUGACAAGUGUAAUGAACUCCUAUCCCAGCUCAAGGUACAACUCUAAUGACUAAAAAGCCCUAAUUUUUCUAAGAAAUUUUGUGAUUUAGUGAAAGAAAAACUCAUUCUUUACUGGAUUCCGGUUUUGAUUGACAUGAUUGAAAUGUCUUGUGUAGUUGUGAUAUUAUUAGCUUUUAAUGUUAUAUAUGGGUUUGUUCUGUAGAGAUAUUAAUGGGGUUAGAUCUAUGGAUUUUUGCUUGAG